rnacentral:rRNA from 1 species
AUGAACGCUGGCGGCGUGCCUCAUACCUGCCAGUCGCGCGAACAGACGAGGAGCUUGCUCCUUUGACGUUAGCGGCGGCCGGGUGAGUAACACGUGGAUAACCUACCUAUAAGACUGGGAUAACUUCGGGAAACCGGAGCUAAUACCGGAUAACAUGUUGAACCGCAUGGUUCAACAGUGAAAGACGGUCUUGCUGUCACUUAUAGAUGGAUCCGCGCCGCAUUAGCUAGUUGGUAAGGUAACGGCUUACCAAGGCAACGAUGCGUAGCCGACCUGAGAGGGUGAUCGGCCACACUGGAACUGAGACACGGUCCAGACUCCUACGGGAGGCAGCAGUAGGGAAUCUGCCGCAAUGGGCGAAAGCCUGACGGAGCAACGCCGCGUGAGUGAAGAAGGUCUUCGGAUCGUAAAACUCUGUUAUUAGGGAAGAACAAAUGUGUAAGUAACUAUGCACGUCUUGACGGUACCUAAUCAGAAGGCCACGGCUAACUACGUG